UAGGGAAUCUUCCACAAUGGACGAAAGUCUGAUGGAGCAACGCCGCGUGAGUGAUGAAGGGUUUCGGCUCGUAAAACUCUGUUGUUGGAGAAGAACAGGUGAUAGAGUAACUGUUAUCAUCUUGACGGUAUCCAACCAGAAAGCCACGGCUAACUACGUGCCAGCAGCCGCGGUAAUACGUAGGUGGCAAGCGUUGUCCGGAUUUAUUGGGCGUAAAGCGAGCGCAGGCGGUUUUUUAGGUCUGAUGUGAAAGCCUUCGGCUUAACCGGAGAAGGGCAUCGGAAACCGGGAGACUUGAGUGCAGAAGAGGACAGUGGAACUCCAUGUGUAGCGGUGAAAUGCGUAGAUAUAUGGAAGAACACCAGUGGCGAAGGCGGCUGUCUGGUCUGUAACUGACGCUGAGGCUCGAAAGCAUGGGUAGCGAACAGGAUUAGAUACCCUGGUAGUCCAUGCCGUAAACGAUGAGUGCUAAGUGUUGGAGGGUUUUCCGCCCUUCAGUGCUGCAGCUAACGC
rnacentral:rRNA from 1 species